AAGAAUUUAGUUUAAAUAAAACAUUAACUUGUCAAGUUAAAAUUACUUAAUUUAAUAGUAAUUCUUA
rnacentral:tRNA from 1 species